ensembl:lncRNA
CCAGGCAGAGGGAGGAGGCGGCAGGCUUUUGAAAACUGGUCCACAACGACCAGGAUGGUCGUGAAACCUUGUGAAGAGACAACAUCCUGGAGGCUGUUAAAGCAGAAGACCUUAUGACAGAUGAAGAGAUCACAGUAAAAACAAGGUUACAAUGUACAAGGUUUUUAGUAUGAGGUGGCAUUCACAACUUUUACAAGGCUGGUAAAAACUGAAUCAACUUCUAAAAAUACUUUUAUAUUAUACUAUUAUAGGAUCUGGAGAAAAACCUGCUAAGUGGGCAUGUUCUGUCUGUGGAAACACAAAGGAUUUGAUCCUCUCCUCAGAAAACAUUACAGCAAACAUGUGACUUUAUUCAAUGACAUGAAGACAGACGAGAUUAUCCAGAGACUGGAAAAAAUACUGACAGUACCUGGAACUGUAGCUGAGAAGCAGCUAUUCAUAACAGAGGUCAUUUUGCCAGAGGAAAACCUUCUUAUCCUACAUAGCCUGGCUGCAGCUGACUGGUGCGAUAAGGCAACAUUCAAUGGAGGACUGAAACUCCCUGCUGUCCUUUCGAUGGACAGAGAAGAAAGAAAAGAAGCCAUCCAGGAGAUGGACACCUGGGAUGGGGAAAUUGAUGAGGAUUCUCCAGCAGAACUUUAUACAUUCGUUUUUGAAAGAAAAAAGGCCUACGACAACUUCUGGGAAGAAUGUGUUGAUAAAAACAAUUACAGACUGUUUACAAGAUUUGAG